GACGAACGCUGGCGGCGUGCUUAACACAUGCAAGUCGAGCGGUAAGGCCCUUUCGGGGGUACACGAGCGGCGAACGGGUGAGUAACACGUGGGUGACCUGCCCUCAGCUCUGGGAUAAGCCUGGGAAACCGGGUCUAAUACUGGAUAUGACUCCAUGACGCAUGUUGUGGGGUGGAAAGCCUUGUGCGGCUGAGGAUGGGCCCGCGGCCUAUCAGCUUGUUGGUGGGGUGANGGCCUACCAAGGCGACGACGGGUAGCCGGCCUGAGAGGGCGACCGGCCACACUGGGACUGAGACACGGCCCAGACUCCUACGGGAGGCAGCAGUGGGGAAUCUUGGACAAUGGGCGAAAGCCUGAUCCAGCAAUGCCGCGUGUGUGAAGAAGGCCUGCGGGUUGUAAAGCACUUUCAGUGGGGAAGAAAGACUUGGUGUGAAUAGCGCCGAGUCUUGACGUUACCCAAAGAAGAAGC
rnacentral:rRNA from 1 species